rnacentral:rRNA from 2 species
UUAAGCGACUAAGCGUACACGGUGGAUGCCCUGGCAGUCAGAGGCGAUGAAGGACGUGCUAAUCUGCGAAAAGCGUCGGUAAGGUGAUAUGAACCGUUAUAACCGGCGAUGUCCGAAUGGGGAAACCCAGUGCAAUUCGUUGCACUAUCGUUAACUGAAUACAUAGGUUAACGAGGCGAACCGGGGGAACUGAAACAUCUAAGUACCCCGAGGAAAAGAAAUCAACCGAGAUUCCCCCAGUAGCGGCGAGCGAACGGGGAGCAGCCCAGAGUCUGAAUCAGCUUGUGUGUUAGUGGAACGGUCUGGAAAGUCCGACGGUACAGGGUGAUAGUCCCGUACACCAAAAUGCACAGGCUGUGAACUCGAAGAGUAGGGCGGGACACGUGGUAUCCUGUCUGAAUAUGGGGGGACCAUCCUCCAAGGCUAAAUACUCCUGACUGACCGAUAGUGAACCAGUACCGUGAGGGAAAGGCGAAAAGAACCCCGGCGAGGGGAGUGAAAAAGAACCUGAAACCGUGUACGUACAAGCAGUGGGAGCACCUUCGGGUGUGACUGCGUACCUUUUGUAUAAUGGGUCAGCGACUUAUAUUCUGUAGCAAGGUUAACCGUAUAGGGGAGCCGCAGGGAAACCGAGUCUUAACUGGGCGUUAAGUUGCAGGGUAUAGACCCGAAACCCGGUGAUCUAGCCAUGGGCAGGUUGAAGGUUGGGUAACACUAACUGGAGGACCGAACCGACUAAUGUUGAAAAAUUAGCGGAUGACUUGUGGCUGGGGGUGAAAGGCCAAUCAAACCGGGAGAUAGCUGGUUCUCCCCGAAAGCUAUUUAGGUAGCGCCUCGUGAAUUCAUCUUCGGGGGUAGAGCACUGUUUCGGCUAGGGGGUCAUCCCGACUUACCAACCCGAUGCAAACUACGAAUACCGAAGAAUGUUAUCACGGGAGACACACGGCGGGUGCUAACGUCCGUCGUGAAGAGGGAAACAACCCAGACCGCCAGCUAAGGUCCCAAAGUCAUGGUUAAGUGGGAAACGAUGUGGGAAGGCACAGACAGCCAGGAUGUUGGCUUAGAAGCAGCCAUCAUUUAAAGAAAGCGUAAUAGCUCACUGGUCGAGUCGGCCUGCGCGGAAGAUGUAACGGGGCUAAACCAUGCACCGAAGCUGCGGCAGCGACACUAUGUGUUGUUGGGUAGGGGAGCGUUCUGUAAGCCUGCGAAGGUGACCUGUGAGGGCUGCUGGAGGUAUCAGAAGUGCGAAUGCUGACAUAAGUAACGAUAAAGCGGGUGAAAAGCCCGCUCGCCGGAAGACCAAGGGUUCCUGUCCAACGUUAAUCGGGGCAGGGUGAGUCGACCCCUAAGGCGAGGCCGAAAGGCGUAGUCGAUGGGAAACAGGUUAAUAUUCCUGUACUUGGUGUUACUGCGAAGGGGGGACGGAGAAGGCUAUGUUAGCCGGGCGACGGUUGUCCCGGUUUAAGCAUGUAGGCUGGUUAUCCAGGCAAAUCCGGAUAAUCAAGGCUGAGGUGUGAUGACGAGGCACUACGGUGCUGAAGUAACAAAUGCCCUGCUUCCAGGAAAAGCCUCUAAGCAUCAGGUAACAUCAAAUCGUACCCCAAACCGACACAGGUGGUCAGGUAGAGAAUACCAAGGCGCUUGAGAGAACUCGGGUGAAGGAACUAGGCAAAAUGGUGCCGUAACUUCGGGAGAAGGCACGCUGGUGUGUAGGUGAAGCCCCUGCGGGUGGAGCUGAGACCAGUCGAAGAUACCAGCUGGCUGCAACUGUUUAUUAAAAACACAGCACUGUGCAAACACGAAAGUGGACGUAUACGGUGUGACGCCUGCCCGGUGCCGGAAGGUUAAUUGAUGGGGUUAUCCGUAAGGAGAAGCUCUUGAUCGAAGCCCCGGUAAACGGCGGCCGUAACUAUAACGGUCCUAAGGUAGCGAAAUUCCUUGUCGGGUAAGUUCCGACCUGCACGAAUGGCGUAAUGAUGGCCAGGCUGUCUCCACCCGAGACUCAGUGAAAUUGAACUCGCUGUGAAGAUGCAGUGUACCCGCGGCAAGACGGAAAGACCCCGUGAACCUUUACUAUAGCUUGACACUGAACAUUGAGCCUUGAUGUGUAGGAUAGGUGGGAGGCUUUGAAGCGUGGACGCCAGUCUGCGUGGAGCCAACCUUGAAAUACCACCCUUUAAUGUUUGAUGUUCUAACGUUGGCCCCUUACCGGGGUUGCGGACAGUGUCUGGUGGGUAGUUUGACUGGGGCGGUCUCCUCCCAAAGCGUAACGGAGGAGCACGAAGGUUAGCUAAUCCUGGUCGGACAUCAGGAGGUUAGUGCAAUGGCAUAAGCUAGCUUGACUGCGAGCGUGACGGCGCGAGCAGGUGCGAAAGCAGGUCAUAGUGAUCCGGUGGUUCUGAAUGGAAGGGCCAUCGCUCAACGGAUAAAAGGUACUCCGGGGAUAACAGGCUGAUACCGCCCAAGAGUUCAUAUCGACGGCGGUGUUUGGCACCUCGAUGUCGGCUCAUCACAUCCUGGGGCUGAAGUAGGUCCCAAGGGUAUGGCUGUUCGCCAUUUAAAGUGGUACGCGAGCUGGGUUUAGAACGUCGUGAGACAGUUCGGUCCCUAUCUGCCGUGGGCGCUGGAGAAUUGAGGGGGGCUGCUCCUAGUACGAGAGGACCGGAGUGGACGCAUCACUGGUGUUCGGGUUGUCAUGCCAAUGGCACUGCCCGGUAGCUAAAUGCGGAAGAGAUAAGUGCUGAAAGCAUCUAAGCACGAAACUUGCCCCGAGAUGAGUUCUCCCUGAGACUUUAAGUCUCCUGAAGGAACGUUAAAGACGAUGACGUUGAUAGGCCGGGUGUGUAAGCGCAGCGAUGCGUUGAGCUAACCGGUACUAAUGAACCGUGAGGCUUAACCUU